AGCGCAGCGAGUGGGGAAUAUUGCGCAAUGGACGAAAGUCUGACGCAGCAACGCCGCGUGGGUGAUGAAGGUCUUCGGAUUGUAAAGCCCUGUCUUCGAGGACGAUAUUGACGGUACCCGAAGAGGAAGCCACGGCUAACUACGUGCCAGCAGCCGCGGUAAU
rnacentral:rRNA from 1 species